rnacentral:lncRNA from 1 species
AUGGCAGGAUACAGAAUCUCUGUGAAACUAAGUGCUCAGGGACCAGCUGCUACCUUUUGGAGCUGUCUUUGCAACCACUUCUCCUAUGCGAAUAAAAGGUGCUUAAAUGAGCUUCUCGGCACCAGCAAGAUGCGUUCUUUCGGUGUCCCAUCUGAGAAGGAUCGACAGCACACAAGACUCAAGUGGGAGUGUGGAGAGUAAGAGAGAAGACCGAGACUGAAGGGUGAAUACUUUUUCUUUGUCUUGAAACAACCU